AGUGAACGCUGGCGGUAGGCCUAACACAUGCAAGUCGAACGGCAGCACAGUAAGAGCUUGCUCUUACGGGUGGCGAGUGGCGGACGGGUGAGGAAUACAUCGGAAUCUACUUUUUCGUGGGGGAUAACGUAGGGAAACUUACGCUAAUACCGCAUACGACCUACGGGUGAAAGCAGGGGAUCUUCGGACCUUGCGCGAUUGAAUGAGCCGAUGUCGGAUUAGCUAGUUGGCGGGGUAAAGGCCCACCAAGGCGACGAUCCGUAGCUGGUCUGAGAGGAUGAUCGGCCACACGGGAACUGAGACACGGUCCAGACUCCUACGGGAGGCCGCAGUGGGGAAUAUUGGACAAUGGGCGCAAGCCUGAUCCAGCCAUACCGCGUGGGUGAAGGAGGCCUUCGGGUUGUAAAGCCCUUUUGUUGGGAAAGAAAAGCAGCAGGUUAAUACCCCGCUGUUCUGACGGUACCCAAAGAAUAAGCACCGGCUAACUUCGUG
rnacentral:rRNA from 1 species